rnacentral:sRNA from 1 species
AAAUAGUUGCGUUAGGGAUUGAAACGACAUCCUUUUUUGUGUCAGUUCGAGUUUUUUGUGAAGAAAUGAACAAAAAGUAUCUAGAACAAAUAAAAAAGAUAUAGUGUAAAGCCCGACCUUUA